GACGAACGCUGGCGGCGUGCUUAACACAUGCAAGUCGAACGGAAAGGCCCUGCUUUUGUGGGGUGCUCGAGUGGCGAACGGGUGAGUAACACGUGAGUAACCUGCCCCUGACUUUGGGAUAACUUCAGGAAACUGGGGCUAAUACCGGAUAGGAGCUCCUGCUGCAUGGGGGGGGUUGGAAAGUUUCGGCGGUUGGGGAUGGACUCGCGGCUUAUCAGCUUGUUGGUGGGGUAGUUGUUGACCAAGGCUUUGACGGGUAGCCGGCAUGAGAGGGUGACCGGGCUCAUUGGGACUGCGGUAGGGCCCAGACUCCAACGGGACGCAGCAGUGGGGAAUAUUGCGCAAUAAGCGCAAGCCAGUUACGACGACGCCGCGUGCGUGAUGCCGGCCUUCGGGUUGUAAACCGCUUUCGCCUGUGACGAAGCGUGAGUGACGGUACUGAGUAAAGAAGCACCGGCUAACUACGUG
rnacentral:rRNA from 1 species